GGACGUUUGGCGCAGCUGGCUAGCGCGCUUCCUUCACACGGAAGAGGUCACAGGUUCGAGUCCUGUAACGUCCA
rnacentral:tRNA from 1 species